CACACGACUCUCGGCAACGGAUAUCUCGGCUCUCGCAUCGAUGAAGAACGUAGCGAAAUGCGAUACCUGGUGUGAAUUGCAGAAUCCCGCGAACCAUCGAGUCUUUGAACGCAAGUUGCGCCCGAGGCCAUUCGGCCGAGGGCACGCCUGCCUGGGNGUCACG
rnacentral:rRNA from 1 species